rnacentral:rRNA from 1 species
AACGAACGCUGGCGGCAUGCCUAACACAUGCAAGUCGAACGAGACCUUCGGGUCUAGUGGCGCACGGGUGCGUAACGCGUGGGAAUCUGCCCUGGGGUGCGGAAUAACUCGGAGAAAUCCGUGCUAAUACCGCAUAAUGUCUUCGGACCAAAGAUUUAUCGCCCUGGGAUGAGCCCGCGUAGGAUUAGCUAGUUGGUGGGGUAAAGGCCUACCAAGGCGACGAUCCUUAGCUGGUCUGAGAGGAUGAUCAGCCACACUGGGACUGAGACACAGCCCAGACUCCUACGGGAGGCAGCAGUGGGGAAUAUUGGACAAUGGGCGAAAGCCUGAUCCAGC